rnacentral:rRNA from 1 species
AACGAACGCUGGCGGCAGGCUUAACACAUGCAAGUCGAACGAGAUCUUCGGAUCUAGUGGCAGACGGGUGAGGAAUACGUGGGAACAUCCCUUUCAGUUCGGAAUAACGUUGGGAAACUAACGCUAAUACCGGAUACGUCCUUCGGGAGAGAGAUUUAUCGCUGAAAGAUUGGCCCGCGUCUGAUUAGCUAGUUGGUGAGGUAACGGCUCACCAAGGCUACGAUCAGUAGCUGAUCUGAGAGGAUGAUCAGCCACAUUGGGACUGAGACACGGGUCAAACUCCUACGGGAGGCAGCAGUGGGGAAUAUUGGACAAUGGGCGCAAGCCUGAUCCAGCCAUGCCGCGUGAGUGAUGACGGCCUUCGGGUUGUAAAGCUCUUUUGUCCGGGAAGAUAAGGACUGUACCGGAAGAAUAAGCCCCGGCAAACUUCGUGCCAGCCGCCGCGGUAA